AGACUGUCGACUGCCUCGUGGUUUGACAGCUCUUAAAACGUUCCGUAGGUGAACCUGCGGAAGGAUCAUUACAGAAAGUAAACGCGGAUCAAACCGCGAACUUCUAAACCUUUGACGAUUGACUCAUGUUGCCUCGGCGGGUCCUCCCGCCAGAGGAUACAUCAAAACUCCUGUUUUAACGGUGUUGUCUGAGCUACAAGCAACGAAUCAAAACUUUCAACAACGGAUCUCUUGGUUCUGGCAUCGAUGAAGAACGCAGCGAAAUGCGAUAAGUAGUGUGAAUUGCAGAAUUCAGUGAAUCAUCGAAUCUUUGAACGCACAUUGCGCCCCUUGGUAUCCCGAGGGGCAUGCCUGUUCGAGCGUCAUUUCACCACUCAAGCCUGGCUUGGUGUUGGGCGACGUCCCCCUUUAGGGACGCGCCUCGAAACGCUCGGCGGCGUGGCACCGGCUUUAAGCGUAGCAGAAUCUUUCGCUUUGAAAGUCGGGGCCCCGUCUGCCGGAAGACCUACUCACAAGGUUGACCUCGGAUCAGGU
rnacentral:rRNA from 1 species